UAGCUGCCUGCUCAAACCUUCUAUAGUGGCUUUUUUUCCUGUCACAUGAGAUAAAAAAAAUCUUAUGAGCUGCUGCCAAGGGGUUGGUUAUGCUUCCUAGGGCUUCCGAUGAGAAAAAAUGUGGGAGAGCAUAAGUUGUUAGAAAGUUAACUGAAUCAAAUGCCUGGUUGCUUCAUUAUUCAGCUUAAAUAGUAAACUCAAGCUGUGUGACCUUCUGUGUGACAUGAACUAUUGCUUGAGGUUGGGGACGUGAAGAUGAACAACAGAAAGCCCUGUUCUUGAGGAGCUGCUAGUCUAGCGACAUGACACCCAGUUUCUAGAGGUGCAACUUACGGACUUGAGAUCUUCCUCUUUUCUCACAUGGAAAAAUUGAGACCCAGG
rnacentral:lncRNA from 10 species